AUUGAACGCUAGCGGGAUGCUUUACACAUGCAAGUCGACCGAGUGGCGGACGGGUGAGUAAUAUAUCUGAACGGGAGCAGUAGAGGGGGUUAACUACUGGGAAGAAAGGCUAAUACCGCCUUCUAUAGGCGCGGCCGGAAUCGGAUUAGCUAGUUGGUGGGGUAAAGUCCCACCAAGGCCACGAUCCGUAGCUGGUGUGAGAGGACGACCAGCCACACUGGGACUGAGACACGGCCCAGACUCCUACGGGAGGCAGCAGUGGGGAAUUUUGGACAAUGGGGGAAACCCUGAUCCAGCCAUCCCGCGUGUAUGAGAAGGCCUUCGGGUUGUAAAGUACUUUUGGCAGAGAAGCGGUAUCUGCAGAAUAAGCACCGGCUAACUACGUGCCAGCAGCCGCGGUAAUUC
rnacentral:rRNA from 1 species